UGGGGAAUAUUGGACAAUGGGGGCAACCCUGAUCCAGCAAUGCCGCGUGGGUGAAGAAGGCCUUCGGGUUGUAAAGCCCUUUCGGCUGGGAAGAAAAGCUUACGGUUAAUAACUGUGAGUCUUGACGUUACCAGAAGAAGAAGCACCGGCUAACUCUGUGCCAGCAGCCGCGGUAAUACAGAGGGUGCGAGCGUUAAUCGGAAUUACUGGGCGUAAAGCGCAUGUAGGUGGUUUGAUAAGUCGGAUGUGAAAGCCCCGGGCUCAACCUGGGAAUUGCACUCGAUACUGUCAAGCUAGAGUAUUGUAGAGGGAAGCGGAAUUUCAGGUGUAGCGGUGAAAUGCGUAGAUAUCUGAAGGAACAUCAGUGGCGAAGGCGGCUUCCUGGACAAAUACUGACACUGAGGUGCGAAAGCGUGGGUAGCAAACAGG
rnacentral:rRNA from 1 species